UUGCUCGGGCCAGCUGCCGCCGCAGCCCCUUGGCCGGGAGCGGGCCGGGCGGGCGGCGCAGGCAGCCGCGCCGGCGUGAGGCCCUCUCGCCUUUGAGUGAAGGCCAAGCUGUCCGCUCCGGUGUGACCCCGCCUUGUGCCUGCUUCCCCUCCUGCUGCAGAGACGCUGAGAGUUGACGUUCCUAAUAAAAACGUGGAUGCUUUGCAAGCAGCGUAGAUGUAAACCUUUCCCCUCCACCUCUUGUCAUAAUUGUAGUAUGUCAUGCGGAAGAGUGUUGAGGUAGAAACAGGAAUAUUCCCUGCAAUUCCUUCUCUGCUCCAUGUGUGUGAACUAAUAGUCCCGAUGUAUCAUUUUAUGGUGGUAGCUUUGUGGAGAUGAACAUGGCAGAAGCAUCCCCUCAGACAUCCUUAUAGUUGCAGUUUUGAACAAGGAAGCCACAGGGACUACUUUUUCUUGCAGCUGGGAAGACUGAUUAUUGUUUAAUUGGAGCUGCGCUCAGGAUAUGUACAGGUGGUGUAGAUGACAGCAUCUGAUCGGAAGUGAUGAAGUUAAUCUCAGUAUCUGGGAAGUACACCAGAGGAGGAUCCUUCAAAGGCUGCUUUAGGAAUCUGAAAGCCAACUCAGAAGAGAAAUCACUGAAGAAUGUUCUAGUGUCAGGAACUCAAGGAUUGUUCUCAGGGCAAAUGAUGGUGAGAAGGUGGAACAAGAAUUAAUCUACUAUGUUCAUGAUGACAGUGAAGAGCUG
rnacentral:lncRNA from 1 species